GACGAACGCUGGCGGCGUGCUUAACACAUGCAAGUCGAACGAGUGGCGAACGGGUGAGUAAUACGUGAGUAACCUGCCCUCUUUUUGGGAUAAGCCUUGGAAACGGGGUCUAAUACCGGAUAAAGGGGGAUGGGCUCGCGGCCUAUCAGCUUGUUGGUGGGGUGAUAGCCUACCAAGGCGGUGACGGGUAGCCGGCCUGAGAGGGUGAACGGGGACAGAGGGACGGAGAUAAGGCCCAGGCUCCUACGGGGGGCAGAAGUGUGGAAUAUUGGACAAUGCGCGAAAGCCUGAUGCAGCGUAGCCGCGUGGGGGAUGAAGGCUUUCGGGUUGUAAACCUAUUUAGCUAACGAAAGGGUAGGUGGAGAAGAAGCGCCGGCUAACUACGUGCCAGCAGCCGCGGUAAUAC
rnacentral:rRNA from 1 species